rfam:Deferribacter desulfuricans SSM1 DNA, complete genome.
AGGCGCGUAGCUCAGUGGGAGAGCACUGCGUUGACGUCGCAGGAGUCGGCGGUUCAAUCCCGCCCGCGCCUA